CCUACGGGUGGCAGCAGUGAGGAAUAUUGGUCAAUGGCCGCAGGUCUGAACCAGCCAAGUCGCGUGAGGGAUGACGGUCCUAUGGAUUGUAAACCUCUUUUGUCAGGGAGCAAAGGGCGCCACGUGUGGCGCUUUGCGAGUACCUUAAGACAAAGCAUCGGCUAACUCCGUGCCAGCAGCCGCGGUAAUACGGAGGAUGCGAGCGUUAUCCGGAUUUAUUGGGUUUAAAGGGUGCGCAGGCGGAAUGUCAAGUCAGCGGUAAAAUUUCGGGGCUCAACCCCGUCGUGCCGUUGAAACUGGCGUUCUUGAGUGAGCGAGAAGUAGGCGGAAUGCGUGGUGUAGCAGUGAAAUGCAUAGAUAGCACGCAGAACUCCGAUUGCGAAGGCAGCAUACCGGCGCUCAACUGACGCUCAUGCACGAAAGCGUGGGUAUCGAACAGGAUUAGAUACCCUAGUAGUC
rnacentral:rRNA from 1 species